UGGGGAAUAUUGCACAAUGGGGGAAACCCUGUUGCAGCGACGCCGCGUGAGCGAAGAAGGCUUUCGAGUCGUAAAGCUCUGUCCUAUGAGAAGAUAAUGACGGUAUCAUAGGAGGAAGCCCUGGCUAAAUACGUGCCAGCAGCCGCGGUAAUACGUAUGGGGCUAGCGUUGUCCGGAAUCACUGGGCGUAAAGGGUUCGCAGGCGGAAAUGCAAGUCAGGUGUAAAAGGCAGUAGCUUAACUACUGUAAGCAUUUGAAACUGCAUAUCUUGAGAAGAGUAGAGGUAAGUGGAAUUUUUAGUGUAGCGGUGAAAUGCGUAGAUAUUAAAAAGAAUACCGGUGGCGAAGGCGACUUACUGGGCUCAUUCUGACGCUGAGGAACGAAAGCGUGGGUAGCAAACAGG
rnacentral:rRNA from 1 species